rnacentral:rRNA from 1 species
GGAAUCUUCGGCAAUGGACGAAAGGUCUGACCGAGCAACGCCGCGUGAGUGAAGAAGGUUUUCGGAUCGUAAAACUCUGUUGGUAGAGAAGAACGUUGGUGAGAGUGGAAAGCUCAUCAAGUGACGGUAACUACCCAGAAAGGGACGGCUAACUACGUGCCAG